UGUACAUCGUGGUUUAACAGUCAAAUAUUAGUGUUAGUUGCUCAUGCACCAUGAUUGCCUGAGUAUGUGCCAUGAUAUCUC
rnacentral:pre_miRNA from 10 species